GGAAUGACAAAAUGGUUAAAAGUCUCUUUGGACCAACUCAUUCUUGAUUUCAGAGAGCUGGAUUCAAAUGCUUUUAUGCCUGACAGGCCCACACCUCUGGACUACUCAGCUGUGUAAAUAUGUGUGUACAAACUCUCUAUGCCUAUGUUUCUGCUUUAUGUACUUGGUUAGAUGUGCUAAUCACAUACCAGAAGCUGAAAAUCUGGUGUCUGAUGCUUUGCGGGAGUGUCACAGUCCUUCAGCUGGAGCAGUACUGGGGACCCAUGCAAUCUUGGGGCUGGACAGCGUUUACUCUUGAUUGGCCACAUCAUCUUAAGAUUCCUACGAGUAGACUAAGGUGUUAUUUUCACCUUCUUUUGGCUGAAAAGUAUAGAUUUCAUGGAAAAACUUCAAGUGCUCUGUCCACCUUCAUUUUUUUUUUGUUUGUUUUGUUUUGUUUUGGUGUUUAUUUGGCAAGAUACAGGAGUUUUUUAAUUCAUUUUGAUCCAAACCAAAAUGCUUUAUUUGUGUGUUUUCUUCUGGCCGUUGAUCUAAAAAUCCAAAUAUUCUAACAGUCCCAACUUUAGCAAAUAUGAGAGCAUGGAUUUAGUACCAUUCCUCUUUCUAAGGGUUUUCCUCUGGACAAGCUGCUGUUUAAGCACACACCAAAGUAAGAUUUUGCUCUUAGUGUAUGUCUGAAGAGAUUCUGCAAUGCAUAAAUCAAACUUUCUGAAAACUGAGAGAGCAGAGCAGUGAGCCUAGGCACUCUGUUUCAGACCUCUGAAGCCGAAUGCAGCAGGCGUUGCUCAGUCAUGGCUAGAAACCUGAUAUUCCCUACUAGUUGCAGGAAAUGGGGCAUAUUGCACUUACAGAGGCCAAGCAUAUUUUGUCUGAGUCAUGAUCAUGUUAAAUGCGUUUACUAAGUGAAAAUGGGAAAAAAAAAGAGGGAAGAAAAAGGAAAAAAAGAGAUUCC
rnacentral:lncRNA from 1 species